ensembl:snRNA U6 U6 spliceosomal RNA
UUGCUUUGGCAGCACAUAUACUAAAAUUGGAAUGAUACAGAGAAAAUUAGCAUGGCCCCUGUGCAAGGGUAACAUGCAAAUUCAUGAAGCAAUCCAAUUUUUU